rnacentral:rRNA from 1 species
AUUGAACGCUGGCGGCAGGCCUAACACAUGCAAGUCGAGCGGCAGCGGGAAAGUAGCUUGCUACUUUUGCCGGCGAGCGGCGGACGGGUGAGUAAUGCCUGGGGAUCUGCCCAGUCGAGGGGGAUAACAGUUGGAAACGACUGCUAAUACCGCAUACGCCCUACGGGGGAAAGGAGGGGACCUUCGGGCCUUUCGCGAUUGGAUGAACCCAGGUGGGAUUAGCUAGUUGGUGGGGUAAUGGCUCACCAAGGCGACGGUCCCUAGCUGGUCUGGGAGGAUGAUCAGCCACACUGGAAAUGGGACACGGUCCAGACUCCGACGGGAGGCAGCAGUGGGGAAUAUUGCACAAUGGGGGAAACCCUGAUGCAGCCAUGCCGCGUGUGUGAAGAAGGCCUUCGGGUUGUAAAGCACUUUCAGCGAGGAGGAAAGGUUGUUGGCUAAUACCCAGCAACUGUGACGUUACUCGCAGAAGAAGCACCGGCUAACUACGUGCCAGCCGCCGCGGUAA